CCUACGGGCGGCAGCAGUAGGGAAUAUUGCUCAAUGGGGGAAACCCUGAAGCAGCAACGCCGCGUGGAGGAUGAAGGUUUUCUGAUUGUAAACUCCUUUUGUUAGAGAAGAUAAUGACGGUAUCUAACGAAUAAGCACCGGCUAACUCCGUGCCAGCAGCCGCGGUAAUACGGACGGUGCAAGCGUUACGCGGAAUCACUGGGCGUAAAGAGCGCGUCGGCGGGAUAGCAAGUCAGAUGUGAAAUCCUAUGGCUUAACCAUAGAACUGCAUGUGAAACUGUUAUUCUAGAGUAUGGGAGAGGUAGGUGGAAUUCUUGGUGUAGGGGUAAAAUCCGGAGAGAACAAGAGGAAUACUCAUUGCGAAGGCGACCUGCUAGAACAUAACUGACGCUGAUGCGCGAAAGCGUGGGGAGCAAACAGGAUUAGAUACCCGGGUAGUC
rnacentral:rRNA from 1 species